rnacentral:rRNA from 1 species
UACGUAGGGGGCAAGCGUUGUCCGGAUUCAUUGGGCGUAAAGAGCGUGUAGGCGGCCAGGUAGGUCGGUUGUGAAAACUGGAGGCUCAACCUUCAGAAGUCGACCGAAACCAUCUGGCUAGAGUCCGGGAGAGGAGAGUGGAAUUCCUGGUGUAGCGGUGAAAUGCGCAGAUAUCAGGAGGAACACCGGUGGCGAAGGCACUUUACUGGGCUAUUACUAACACUCAGAGACGAAAGCUAGGGUAGCAAAUGGG